UGAGGAAUCUUGCGCAAUGGGCGAAAGCCUGACGCAGCGACGCCGCGUGAGGGAUGAAGGCCUUCGGGUUGUAAACCUCUGUCAGGGGGGAAGAAUCCGGAGUCGGUGAAUACCCGACUCCACUGACGGUACCCCCAGAGGAAGCACCGGCUAACUCCGUGCCAGCAGCCGCGGUAAGACGGAGGGUGCAAACGUUGUUCGGAAUCACUGGGCGUAAAGGGCGCGUAGGCGGACUCGUAAGUCGGGAGUGAAAACUCGGGGCUCAACCCCGAGCCUGCUUCUGAAACUGCGAGUCUUGAGGACCGGAGAGGAAAGUGGAAUUCCUAGUGUAGCGGUGGAAUGCGUAGAUAUUAGGAAGAACACCAGUGGCGAAGGCGACUUUCUGGACGGUUCCUGACGCUGAGGCGCGAAAGCUAGGGGAGCAAACAGGAUUAGAUACCCUGGUAGUCCUAGCCGUAAACGAUGAGUGCUAGGUGGUGGUAGUUUCAACACUUUCACCGCCGCAGCCAACGCAUUAAG
rnacentral:rRNA from 1 species